rnacentral:rRNA from 1 species
GAGUUUGAUCCUGGCUCAGGAUGAACGCUGGCGGCGUGCUUAACACAUGCAAGUCGAACGGGAAUUACUUUAUUGAAACUUCGGUCGAUUUAAUUUAAUUCUAGUGGCGGACGGGUGAGUAACGCGUGGGUAACCUGCCUUAUACAGGGGGAUAACAGUCAGAAAUGACUGCUAAUACCGCAUAAGCGCACAGAGCUGCAUGGCUCGGUGUGAAAAACUCCGGUGGUAUAAGAUGGACCCGCGUUGGAUUAGCUUGUUGGUGGGGUAACGGCCCACCAAGGCGACGAUCCAUAGCCGGCCUGAGAGGGUGAACGGCCACAUUGGGACUGAGACACGGCCCAGACUCCUACGGGAGGCAGCAGUGAGGGAUAUUGGGCAAUGGGGGAAACCCUGACCCAGCAACGCCGCGUGAGGGAUGACGGUUUUCGGAUUGUAAACCUCUGUCCUCUGUGAAGAUAGUGACGGUAGCAGAGGAGGAAGCUCCGGCUAACUACGUGCCAGCCGCCGCGGUAAUAC